rnacentral:rRNA from 1 species
AGCGAACGCUGGCGGCAGGCCUAACACAUGCAAGUCGAACGAACCUUUCGGGGUUAGUGGCGGACGGGUGAGAAACACGUGGGAACGUGCCUUUAGGUUCGGAAUAACUCAGGGAAACUUGUGCUAAUACCGAAUGUGCCCUUCGGGGGAAAGAUUUAUCGCCUUUAGAGCGGCCCGCGUCUGAUUAGCUAGUUGGUUGAGGUAAUGGCUCACCAAGGCGACGAUCAGUAGCUGGUCUGAGAGGAUGAUCAGCCACAUUGGGACUGAGACACGGCCCAAACUCCUACGGGAGGCAGCAGUGGGGAAUCUUGCGCAAUGGGCGAAAGCCUGACGCAGCCAUGCCGCGUGAAUGAUGAAGGUCUUAGGAUUGUAAAAUUCUUUCACCGGGGACGAUAAUGACGGUACCCGGAGAAGAAGCCCCGGCUAACUUCGUG